CUGUACUUUGGGGCUAGGAGAUUGAGCAUUUUGUUUAUUCCAGAAUCUUCUUGUGUUUGAUUAUGUCUGAAUUUCAAUCUCAGAUAUGGGUAUAUGGGAACAGCUUUGAGUCUUUCCUUGUUGCUGUUGUAAACCCAAAUAAGCAAGUACUUGAACGUUGGGCUGAAGAAAAUGGUGUACCUGGGGAUUUCAAUUCCCUCUGUGAAAAUCCCAAGGCAAAACAAAACGUACUUGUAGAGCUCACACGGAUUGGAAAGGAAAAGAAGUUGAAAGGGUUUGAAUUUAUAAAAGCUGUUCAUCUUGACCCCGAGCCAUUCGACAUGGAACGUGACCUUCUGACCCCAACAUUCAAGAAGAAGAGGCCUCAGUUGCUCAAAUACUACCAGAACAUUGUUGACAACAUGUACAAGGGUGCAAAGUAAGCAAACUGCCUGAAGAUGGUGUUUUCUAAAUUUUAACAGCCCUAAAAAAGUUUUUGGCUGGCAAAUUAUUUUUGCAGCAAUCAAAAAUAUGAUUGAAUAAAGUUUGCUCAGAUAGUAUGGAUGGAGUUGGUGAUGAAUUGGCUACAAUUGAUGCUGUGGAUAACACACUUUUUCAAAGCAAAGAUGGUGAGUAUUCACGGA